CUUUACUGUAAGUUAGAGUGCAAGUGCAUGGCAUACUAUACAGUACACACCACAUUACCAUUUAGUGUGUUCUCUGAGAGAGAGGGGUGCAUGCUAUACGUUCAUACUAGCCGGGAGGGGGAGGGGGGUACUGUAUGUGUGGCAGUAACCAGCACCUGGAGACAGAGGGAGAUGGACGGAGGUUGAGAACGAUGGGGAUGCAUAGAGUAGGAUGAUAGAUGGACGGAGGUUGAGAACGAUGGGGAUGCAUAGAGUAGGAUGAUAGAUGGACGGAGGUUGAGAACAAUGGGGAUGCAUAGAGUAGGAUGAUAGAUGGACGGAGGUUGAGAACGAUGGGGAUGCAUAGAGUAGGAUGAUAGAUGGACGGAGGUUGAGAACGAUGGGGAUGCAUUGGAGUAGGAUGAUAGAUGGACGGCGGUUGAGAACAAUGGGGAUGCAAAGAGUAGGAUGAUAGAUGGAUGCGGAGGAAUGUUUCUGCCAUAAAGUGCCCAACCUUCCACAUACUCCUGAUGUGGAAGUCAUCUGUUUGAAUACAACGCCCCUUCAACAACAAUAUGAGCUACCACACCAACCCUUCCACAUGCGUGCGCAGAUAUGAUCAACGUUAUAAAAUAGACUGCCAGCCAUUUGCGUGGUGCAAGUGAUUUAGCCUAUAGAUUGAACAGAUGGACGGACAUACAGACAUGUACUGUAGACAGACAGUGUUUGUGCAGUAUGUUUCCAGUGGAGACUAGCUGACUUGCUGUUCACUGUUGCUGCUGUUGCAUAUGGGGACUGGAGCUGGGAGAGAGCAGGGCAUUGUGGGAGUAGUCUGGUUCUAGUUGGUUGGCUCUGGCUCCAGCAGGCAGCCAUGGCCCAGCCACGCUCUGACAGCAGAAAGAGAGAGAGGGAAGGAGAAAGAGAGGGCCUGUAAUUAGCACCAGGGUCUGUCUUCCGCAUUCCACAUCUGUAACUUACAGAGUGUAGUGGACUGCCUGCCUGCCUGCCUACCUGCUUGCAUGUCUGUCUGCUGAGCCGACAGAGCGUCCAGCUCCCUGCCACAAUACCUUGUCUUCCCUUCCCUCCACUGGCUGAGCAUAUCCAGACCCUCUCUCUCUCUCUAUGCCCCCCUCUCUCUCUCUCUCUCUCUCUCUAUGCCUCUCUCUCUCUCUCUAUGCCUCUCUCUCUCUCUCUAUGCCCCUCUCUCUCUAUGCCUCUCUCUCUC
ensembl:lncRNA